GGAGAGGUGUCCGAGCGGCUUAAGGAGCACGCCUGGAAAGUGUGUGUAGGUUUAUCCCUACCGCGGGUUCGAAUCCCGCUCUCUCCG
rnacentral:tRNA from 1 species